AGAGUUUGAUCCUGGCUCAGGAUGAACGCUAGCGGCAGGCUUAACACAUGCAAGUCGAGGGGCAGCAUGCGUGUUAGCAAUAACAUGUGAUGGCGACCGGCGCAAGGGUGCGUAACGCGUGAGCAACUUGCCCUUAUCAGGGGGAUAACCGUUGGAAACGACGACUAAUACCCCAUGGUGAUAUAUUCAGGCAUCUUUAUAUAUCUAAAGAACUUCGGAUAAGGAUAGGCUCGCGUGACAUUAGCUAGAUGGUGAGGUAACGGCUCACCAUGGCGACGAUGUCUAGGGGUUCUGAGAGGAAGGUCCCCCACACUGGAACUGAGACACGGUCCAGACUCCUACGGGAGGCAGCAGUGAGGAAUAUUGGUCAAUGGUUGGGAGACUGAACCAGCCAUGCCGCGUGAAGGUCACGGCCCUAUGGGUCUUCAACUUCUUUUGUAAGGGAGCAAUAAGGAUCACGUGUGGUCUGAUGAGAGUACCUUACGAAUAAGCAUCGGCUAACUCCGUGCCAGCAGCCGCGGUAAUACGGGGGAUGCAAGCGUUAUCCGGAUUUAUUGGGUUUAAAGGGUGCGUAGGCGGUUUGUUAAGUCAGCGGUGAAAUUUAGGGGCUCAACCUCUACCGUGCCGUUGAUACUGGCAGGCUUGAAUGCGGAUGCCGUGGGAGGAAUGUGUGGUGUAGCGGUGAAAUGCAUAGAUAUCACACAGAACUCCGAUUGCGAAGGCAGCAUGCCGGCAUCUAUCUGACGCUGAGGCACGAAAGCGUGGGGAUCGAACAGGAUUAGAUACCCUGGUAGUCCACGCAGUAAACGAUGAAUGCUAGAUGUUCGAUAGGAUUGACUAUUGAGUGUCACAGCGAAAGCGUUAAGCAUUCCACCUGGGGAGUACGCCGGCAACGGUGAAACUCAAAGGAAUUGACGGGGGCCCGCACAAGCGGAGGAACAUGUGGUUUAAUUCGAUGAUACGCGAGGAACCUUACCCGGGCUCAAACGACAGGGGAAUAUGCGUGAAAGCGCAUAGCUAGCAAUAGUCGCUGUCGAGGUGCUGCAUGGUUGUCGUCAGCUCGUGCCGUGAGGUGUCGGCUUAAGUGCCAUAACGAGCGCAACCCCUGCCUUCAGUUGCUAACAGGAAAGCUGAGGACUCUGGAGGGACUGCCGGCGCAAGCCGUGAGGAAGGAUGGGAUGACGUCAAAUCAGCACGGCCCUUACGUCCGGGGCGACACACGUGUUACAAUGGUCGGCACAGCGGGAAGCCAUAUGGUGACAUAGAGCGGAACCCGAAAGCCGGUCUCAGUUCGGAUCGGAGUCUGCAACUCGACUCCGUGAAGCUGGAUUCGCUAGUAAUCGCGCAUCAGCCAUGGCGCGGUGAAUACGUUCCCGGGCCUUGUACACACCGCCCGUCA
rnacentral:rRNA from 1 species